rnacentral:rRNA from 1 species
AACGCUAGCUACAGGCUUAACACAUGCAAGUCGAGGGGCAGCGCAGUGUAGCAAUACAUGGGCGGCGACCGGCGCACGGGUGCGUAACGCGUAUCCAACCUUCCCGUUACUCUUGGAUAGCCUUCCGAAAGGGAGAUUAAUACAAGAUGGUAUUCAAAUUCCGCAUGUUAUUUGAAUUAAAGAUUUAUCGGUAACGGAUGGGGAUGCGUGACAUUAGAUAGUAGGCGGGGUAACGGCCCACCUAGUCUACGAUGUCUAGGGGUUCUGAGAGGAAGGUCCCCCACACUGGAACUGAGACACGGUCCAGACUCCUACGGGAGGCAGCAGUGAGGAAUAUUGGUCAAUGGUCGGAAGACUGAACCAGCCAAGUAGCGUGAAGGAUGAAGGUUCUAUGGAUUGUAAACUUCUUUUAUACGGGAAUAAAGCCCACUACGUGUAGUGGUUUGUAUGUACCGUAUGAAUAAGCAUCGGCUAACUCCGUGCCAGCAGCCGCGGUAAUACGGAGGAUGCGAGCGUUAUCCGGAUUUAUUGGGUUUAAAGGGAGCGUAGACGGGAUGUUAAGUCAGUUGUGAAAGGCUGCGGCUCAACCAUAGCACUGCAGUUGAUACUGGCGUCCUUGAGUGCGGUUGAGGUGUAUGGAAUUCGUGGUGUAGCGGUGAAAUGCUUAGAUAUCACGAAGAACUCCGAUUG